CCGCGGUAACACCGGCAGCUCUAGUGGUAGCUGUUUAUGGGCCUAAAGCGUCGUAGCCGGUUAAUAAGUCUCUGGUGAAAUCCUAUAGCUUAACUGUGGGAAUUGCUGGAGAUACUAUUAGACUUGAGAUCGGGAGAGGUCAGAGGUACUCCUGGGGUAGGGGUGAAAUCCUGUAAUCCUAGGAGGACCACCUGUGGCGAAGGCGUCUGACUAGAACGAAUCUGACGGUGAGGAACGAAAGCUAGGGGCGCGAACCGGAUUAGAUACCCGGGUAGUCCUAGCCGUAAACUAUGCGGACUUGGUGUGAGGGUGGCUUUGAGCCGUCCUGGUGCCGAAGGGAAGCUGUUAAGUCCGCCGCCUGGGAAGUACGGUCGCAAGACUGAAACUUAAAGGAAUUGACGGGGGAGCACCACAACGCGUGGAGCCCUGCGGUUUAAUUGGAUUCAACGCCGGAGAUCUCACCAGCGGCGACAGCAGUAUGAUGACCAGGUUGAUGACUUUGUUUGACAAGCUGAGGGGUGGUGCAUGG
rnacentral:rRNA from 1 species